rnacentral:rRNA from 1 species
GGAGCUAACGCGUUAAGUCGACCGCCUGGGGAGUACGGCCGCAAGGUUAAAACUCAAAUGAAUUGACGGGGGCCCGCACAAGCGGUGGAGCAUGUGGUUUAAUUCGAUGCAACGCGAAGAACCUUACCUACUCUUGACAUCCACGGAAUUUGGCAGAGAUGCCUUAGUGCCUUCGGGAACCGUGAGACAGGUGCUGCAUGGCUGUCGUCAGCUCGUGUUGUGAAAUGUUGGGUUAAGUCCCGCAACGAGCGCAACCCUUAUCCUUUGUUGCCAGCGAUUCGGUCGGGAACUCAAAGGAGACUGCCGGUGAUAAACCGGAGGAAGGUGGGGAUGACGUCAAGUCAUCAUGGCCCUUACGAGUAGGGCUACACACGUGCUACAAUGGCGCAUACAAAGAGAAGCGACCUCGCGAGAGCAAGCGGACCUCACAAAGUGCGUCGUAGUCCGGAUCGGAGUCUGCAACUCGACUCCGUGAAGUCGGAAUCGCUAGUAAUCGUGGAUCAGAAUGCCACGGUGAAUACGUUCCCGGGCCUUGUACACACCGCCCGUCACACCAUGGGAGUGGGUUGCAAAAGAAGUAGGUAGCUUAACCUUCGGGAGGGCG